UACGAGGGGGGGCAAGCGUUGUUCGGAAUUAUUGGGCGUAAAGGGCGCGUAGGCGGUUUGGCAAGUUUGGUGUGAAAUCUUCGGGCUCAACUCGAAGUCUGCAUCGAAAACUGCCGGGCUUGAGUAUGGGAGAGGUGAGUGGAAUUUCCGGUGUAGCGGUGAAAUGCGUAGAUAUCGGAAGGAACACCUGUGGCGAAAGCGGCUCACUGGACCAUUACUGACGCUGAGGCGCGAAAGCUAGGGGAGCAAACAGG
rnacentral:rRNA from 1 species